ACGCCGCCGUCGGGCGGUCGUAGGACAUGGCCGCCAGGAGGUAGCUCUCGGUGAUGCCCAGAGCCACGAAGAAGUACAUCUCGGCAAAGCACGCCUGGAAGGAUAUGGCCUGGCCCGGGUGGAGCAGGCCGGCCAGCAGCCUGGGGACCGUGACGGUGGUAAAGCAGACGUCCACGAGGCUCAGGUAUUCUGACCUUUUCAGCUAGCAGAGGAUGAGGAGGACAAGGUGGUGGUGUCAUUGGGCAUGUCAACCAAGAGCAAGAAACUCAUGGAGCCAGAAGCUGGGACCAAUAGGACCGCUGUUGCUGAGUUCAUUCUACUGGGCCUAGUGCAAACAGAAGAGAUGCAGCCAGUUGUCUUUGUGCUCCUCCUCUUUGCCUAUCUGGUCACAACUGGGGGCAACCUCAGCAUCCUGGCAGCCGUCUUGGUGGAGCCCAAACUCCACGCCCCCAUGUACUUCUUCCUGGGGAACCUGUCAGUGCUGGAUGUCGGAUGUAUCACUGUCACUGUUCCUGCAAUGUUGGGUCGUCUCUUGUCCCACAAGUCCACAAUUUCCUAUGACGCCUGCCUCUCCCAGCUCUUCUUCUUCCACCUUCUGGCUGGGAUGGACUGCUUCCUGCUGACCGCCAUGGCCUAUGACCGACUCCUGGCCAUCUGCCAGCCCCUCACCUACAGCACCCGCAUGAGUCAGACAGUCCAGAGGAUGUUGGUGGCUGCGUCCUUGGCUUGUGCCUUCACCAACGCACUGACCCACACUGUGGCCAUGUCCACGCUCAACUUCUGUGGCCCCAAUGAGGUCAAUCACUUCUACUGUGACCUCCCACAGCUCUUCCAGCUCUCCUGCUCCAGCACCCAACUCAAUGAGCUGCUGCUCUUUGCUGUGGGUUUCAUCAUGGCAGGCACACCUUUGGUUCUCAUCAUCACUGCCUACAGCCACGUGGCAGCUGCAGUUCUACGAAUCCGUUCAGUGGAGGGCCGAAAGAAGGCCUUCUCCACGUGUGGCUCCCACCUCACCGUGGUUUGUCUUUUCUUUGGAAGAGGUAUCUUCAACUACAUGAGACUGGGUUCAGAGGAGGCUUCAGACAAGGAUAAAGGGGUUGGAGUUUUCAACACUGUUAUCAACCCUAUGCUGAACCCUCUUAUCUACAGCCUCAGAAACCCUGAUGUUCAGGGUGCUCUGUGGCAAAUAUUUUUGGGGAGGAGAUCACUGACCUGAGAGGUAAUGGGGUCCCUCCUUUCCUGCCUUUUCUGGACUGAGGAAAAUUUCCCAUGAAGACAGUAACCAGGAAAAAUUCAGCCACAACUAUUUUUCCUAUCUCCUGAUGCUUGAAGAUCGGUGUUACAUAUUUGUCCUACUAGGAAACCCUACAUAAUUUAUUCAUUCAACAAAUACUUAUUAGAGUACCUCUAUGAUCUGGACAGUCUUCCAAGGCAUUGGUGGACAAAAUGGACAAAAGUCUCUGCACUCAUGCAACUCACAUGCUAUAAAAGUAGACAAAGUAAAUAAGCAUCAUAUAUACCACAUGAUGAUAGUUUCUAUAGAGAUGAACAAAGAUGUUAAUAUGAAGUCAGGUUCUGCCAAGCAAGCCCUGUGCAAGUUUUACCCUGUUUUUGGCUGUGCCUACUUUCUGGAUAGAGUUAAAGCCUUGUAGUUCUGUGUGCCUGGCAAGCAGCAUUCUACAAAGAAUGUCCAGUCGGUCAAUCACAGCCUAAGUGACCAAAAGUAUUUCUGCAAUAUUUCUGCGAUUUCCUGUAUAUAUGAUAUGCCCGUUUCACAUCAGUAGAACCAUACUGUUCUGUGAUCUGCUUCCUGUUUUUCCUGCAUAUUGUGCCAUACAAUCUUUUACAUAAUGAAGACUAACAUCCUGCUUUAUCUGUUUUAAUGGUGGCACAGUAUAUCAUUAAACAUGUAAGUCACAAUUUCUUUCAUUAAACCUCUAUUUCUAUAAUUUGGGUUAUUUUCAAUUGUUUUGCAACAACAAUGUUGUGAUGAAUAUUCUUUUUUUUUUCUUUUUUUUUCUUUUUUUUUUUAAAUUAUAUUUUAAGUUUUAGGGUACAUGUGCACAUUGUGCAGGUUAGUUACAUAUGUAUACAUGUGCCAUGCUGGUGCGCUGCACCCACUAACUCGUCAUCUAGUAUUAGGUAUAUCUCCCAAUGCUAUCCCUCCCCCCUGCCCCCACCCCACCACAGUCCCCA
rnacentral:lncRNA from 1 species